rnacentral:rRNA from 1 species
GUAUGGAGCAAGCGUUAUCCGGAUUUACUGGGUGUAAAGGGAGCGUAGGCGGCCUGGCAAGUCUGGUGUGAAAACCCGGGGCCCAACCCCGGGAGUGCAUUGGAAACUGCCAGGCUGGAGUGCCGGAGGGGCAGGCGGAAUUCCUAGUGUAGCGGUGAAAUGCGUAGAUAUUAGGAGGAACACCGGUGGCGAAGGCGGCCUGCUGGACGGCAACUGACGCUGAGGCUCGAAAGCGUGGGGAGCAAA